UAGCCUCGGCGAACUACGUGCCAGCAGCCGCGGUAAAACGUAGGAGGCUAGCGUUAUCCGGGAUUUAUUGGGCGUAAAGCGCGUGCAGGCGGUUUAUCAAGUUGGAUGUGAAAGCUCCUGGCUUAACUGGGAGAGGUCGUUCAAAACUGAUAGACUAGAGAAUGGUAGAGGGAGGUGGAAUUCCGGGUGUAGUGGUGAAAUGCGUAGAUAUCCGGAGGAACACCAGUGGCGAAAGCGGCCUCCUGGGCCAUUUCUGACGCUAAGACGCGAAAGCUAGGGUAGCAAACGGGAUUAGAGACCCCGGUAGUCCUAGCCGUAAACGAUGUGGACUUGGCGUUGGCGGAGUUAAAUCUGCCAGUGCCGUAGCUAACGCGAUAAGUCCACCGCCUGGGGACUACGACCGCAAGGUUAAAACUCAAAGGAAUUGACGGGGACCCGCACAAGCAGCGGAGCGUGUGGUUUAAUUCGAUGCUACACGAAGAACCUUACCAAGGUUUGACAUGUAAGUGGUAGUGAUCUGAAAAGUGAACGACCCUUCGGGGAGCUUACACAGGUGCUGCAUGGCUGUCGUCAGCUCGUGUCGUGAGAUGUUCGGUUAAGUCCGCUAACGAGCGCAACCCUCACUGUGUGUUACAAGUGUCACACGGGACUGCCGGUUUUAAGCCGGAGGAAGGCGAGGAUGACGUCAAGUCAGCAUGGCCUUUAUAUCUUGGGCUACACACACGCUACAAUGGUCUGUACAAUAGGUUGCCAAGCCGCGAGGCGGAGCCAAUCCUAAAAGCAGGCCUCAGUUCAGAUUGCAGGCUGCAACCCGCCUGCAUGAAGAUGGAGUUGCUAGUAACCGCAGGUCAGCUAUACUGCGGUGAAUACGUUCCCGGGUCUUGUACACACCGCCCGU
rnacentral:rRNA from 1 species